ensembl:lncRNA
CAUUUAUCAAACGUGCGCACGCAGUUCUUACGCACAUGAGUAAGCAAUCAUUGUUGAUAAAUACCACAUGUGCGUAAGUACCAUGCUCGUUCACAUUCAUGGUCAUUAGCAUUCGGAAACGCCUCCAAUUAACCAUAUAUGGUGACAACACUUCCCUUUAAAAAUUACGUGAUUGUGUUUUUUCCUCACUGCAAUAAUGGCAAAGAGAGCAAAGAAGAGGAACUUCACAAACACAGAAUUAGAGAUACUUGUAAAUGAAGUUGAAUCCAACCAACAGAUAUUGUUUAGUUCAUUCACUGCAGGAGGAAUUACAAAUAAAAGAAAAAAUGCUGCAUGGGAGAAUGUCACCAAUGCAGUUAAUUCCGUUGGGUCUGAGGAGAGAACUGUCCCAGAAAUUUAAAAAAAUGGUUUGAUAUUAAAGUAUUGGCUAAAAAACGUGUCACAGCACACAGACGAGAAAUGUCCGCAACUGGAGGAGGACAGACAACAACGGAACUUUCCCCAUUGGACAACCGCAUAGCCUGCAUCAUCGGAGACACGGCUCUGUCCGGGAUUACUAAGGACGGUGACACUGAUGCUCUUGCGACAGAACAAACCGGGCCAUCUAACACCCAAAGUGAAGCGACACCCAUUGUGCAUGAUGAGCUUGAGGAGCCGGGCCCAUCCAUUGCCCCUUCCAUGCGCCGUGCGCCAAGAGUGCUGAGUGAGGCGGUGCUACAAAAUCAAGAGGAAACAACAAAAUCCAUUAAUGACCUAAAGGAUCAACUGAGCAACAUAACGAAUGUAUUGAUUCAAAUCAACGAGUCUCUGAAACAGAUUGCCUCUUGCGCAAAUACAAUUGCUAAUAAACCAUAAACCGCUGACUAAUGUGAUUUCAGUUAUUUGUUUCCACGAAGCUGCAAAACACAAAAUGAAAUCGCUGUAAUGUUUCUGCACUCGACCAAUGGCCAGACUUACCUAAAAUGUCUGUAUGAUCCUCUGUCUUGUCUGAAUGCCAGCGGCAUUAGGAGGUGGCAGGGGCACUGCAUCGGGCAUAGGGCCGUCUGGUCUUGGGGGUUCCUGCAGAGGGAUGCCCUGUCUGAUGGCCAAGUUGUGUAGCACACUGCAAGCCAUGAUGAUUUUGCAUGCUUUUUCUGGCUGAUACUGCAGUGUCCCUCCCGUGCUUGACAGACACAGCCAUCGUCCUUUCAGCAGGCCUAUUGCGCGCUCAACUGUGCUCCUUGAGCGCGCAUGGGCACGGUUGUACGCCUGUUCCUGCUCGGUCCUCGGGUUGGUUAGGGGGGUCAUUAGCCAUGGCUUUAGCGGGUAACCUUGAUCACCUAAUGAUGAAAUAGUUUUAAGUAAUUGUACAUAGCCCUACAAUAGCAUUUUAAACAUGUUGUAGCCUUAAAUUCACCAAUGAGCCAGCCAUCCUCAACAGCGCCUUCUUGGAGACGCACACCCACAGAGCUAUUCUGCAGAACGAACGAGUCGUGUGUUCCUCCAGGCCACCGC